rnacentral:tRNA from 1 species
GUUAAUUUAGUUUAUAAAAAUAUUAGAUUGUGAUUCUAAAGUAAAGAUUUAUCUUAGUUAACA